UACGAAGGGGGCUAGCGUUGCUCGGAAUCACUGGGCGUAAAGCGCACGUAGGCGGAUUGCUAAGUCAGAGGUGAAAUCCUGGAGCUCAACUCCAGAACUGCCUUUGAUACUGGCGAUCUUGAGUCCGGGAGAGGUGAGUGGAACUGCGAGUGUAGAGGUGAAAUUCGUAGAUAUUCGCAAGAACACCAGUGGCGAAGGCGGCUCACUGGCCCGGUACUGACGCUGAGGUGCGAAAGCGUGGGGAGCAAACAGG
rnacentral:rRNA from 1 species